CCCGCCCCCCCGCCAUAGCUGUCGAUCGCUAUGUGGCACGCCUACGUUUGCCCAAAAGGGCAGUCCGAUGGACAGCGUGGGUGCUUUUCCCAGCAGGCAGGCAGGAGACAAAACUCCCCUGCCAAAGGGGCCCUCCCGAAACGGGGAGUGAGGAAGACCUCCUUCUCUUCACGGCUGAAGUUCUCCCUGCCUUUCCUGGACGGGAAGGAUAGCACCUACGCCCGCUGCCGUCGGCGACUUUUAGUCCACCUGGAGAGGAAGAAAUUCUUUCCCGUGGCCGAACCCUGGCGGUUCGUUCGUGCUGCAGAGGACGUGGCCCUCUCUGACACACCCAGGAACCUCCUCGCUCCGGGUCGCUCCGGGUCGAGGAGAGGGAGUUCUGUUCUGUGGUUUAGAAUGGUGCUUAAAAAGGGACAUCGCUUACAAAGGGUCCUCGUCCCCCUUCCUAAACGGACGGCUCGGCUCGGAGGCGUGAGAUACGUUUCGCAUCCUCCUCGUCGUCUUCACUCAAAGUUUUAUUGGAGUUUUGAAGAUUUUA